ACGAUUGACGUUACCGACAGAAGAAGCACCGGCUAACUCCGUGCCAGCAGCCGCGGUAAUACGGAGGGUGCAAGCGUUAAUCGGAAUUACUGGGCGUAAAGCGCACGCAGGCGGUUGAUUAAGUUAGAUGUGAAAUCCCCGGGCUUAACCUGGGAAUGGCAUCUAAGACUGGUCAGCUAGAGUCUUGUAGAGGGGGGUAGAAUUCCAUGUGUAGCGGUGAAAUGCGUAGAGAUGUGGAGGAAUACCGGUGGCGAAGGCGGC
rnacentral:rRNA from 1 species